rnacentral:rRNA from 1 species
GGACUACCAGGGUUUCUAAUCCUGUUUGCUACCCACGCUUUCGUACACUCAGCGUCAGUGAUGGUCCAGUAAGCUGUCUACACCACAGGUGUUCCUCCUGAUAUCUACGCAUUUCACCGCUACACCAGGAAUUCCGCUUACCUCUCCCAUACUCGAGCACUCCAGUUUCCGGCGCACCCUCCCAGUUGAGCCGGGAGAUUUCACACCAGACUUAGAGCACCGCCUACGUACUCUUUACGCCCAGUAAUUCCGAACAACGCUCGCUGCCUACGUAUUACCGCGGCUGCUGGCAC